CCUACGGGUGGCAGCAGUGGGGAAUAUUGGACAAUGGGGGGAACCCUGAUCCAGCCAUGCCGCGUGUGUGAAGAAGGCCCUCGGGUUGUAAAGCACUUUCAGUGAGGAAGAACGCCUGGUGGUUAAUACCCAUCAGGAAAGACAUCACUCACAGAAGAAGCACCGGCUAACUCCGUGCCAGCAGCCGCGGUAAUACGGAGGGUGCGAGCGUUAAUCGGAAUUACUGGGCGUAAAGCGCGCGUAGGUGGCUUGAUAAACCGGUUGUGAAAGCCCCGGGCUCAACCUGGGAACGGCAUCCGGAACUGUCAAGCUAGAGUGCAGGAGAGGAAGGUAGAAUUCCCGGUGUAGCGGUGAAAUGCGUAGAGAUCGGGAGGAAUACCAGUGGCGAAGGCGGCCUUCUGGACUGACACUGACACUGAGGUGCGAAAGCGUGGGUAGCAAACAGGAUUAGAUACCCGUGUAGUC
rnacentral:rRNA from 1 species